GACGGAAGGUGCAAGCGUUGCUCGGAAUCACUGGGCGUAAAGGGUGCGUAGGCGGCUUGGUAGGUUGGGUGUGAAAGCCCCGGGCUCAGCCCGGGAAGGGCACUCGAAACUGCCGAGCUGGAGUGCCGGAGGGGAGAGUGGAAUUCCUGGUGUAGCGGUGAAAUGCGUAGAUAUCAGGAGGAAUACCGGUGGCGAAAGCAGCUCUCUGGGACGGUACUGACGCUGAGACGCGAAAGCGUGGGGAGCGAACAGG
rnacentral:rRNA from 1 species